UACGAGGGGGGCGAGCGUUGUUCGGAAUUAUUGGGCGUAAAGGGUGCGUAGGCGGUUUGGUAAGUCUUAUGUGAAAUCUAUGGGCUCAACUCAUAGUCUGCAUGAGAAACUGCCGGGCUUGAGUGUGGGAGAGGUGAGUGGAAUUUCCGGUGUAGCGGUGAAAUGCGUAGAGAUCGGGAAGAACAUCAGUGGCGAAGGCGGCCUGCUGGGCUGUUGCUGACGCUGAGGCGCGACAGCGUGGGGAGCAAACAGG
rnacentral:rRNA from 1 species